rnacentral:rRNA from 1 species
UACGUAGGGUGCAAGCGUUGUCCGGAAUUAUUGGGCGUAAAGAGCUCGUAGGCGGUUUGUCGCGUCUGCUGUGAAAACCCGAGGCUCAACCUCGGGCCUGCAGUGGGUACGGGCAGACUAGAGUGCGGUAGGGGAGAUUGGAAUUCCUGGUGUAGCGGUGGAAUGCGCAGAUAUCAGGAGGAACACCGGUGGCGAAGGCGGGUCUCGUGGGCAGUAACUGACGCUGAGGAGCGAAAGCGUGGGUAGCAAACAGG